AAAGGCGGCAGGUCAGGGUGUUCACCCGCUCAAUUUAAGCAUAUAAGUCAGCGGAGGAAAAGAAAUCAAUAGAGAUUCUCUCAGUAGCUGCGAGCGAACAGGGAAUAGCCCGAGACCGAAUCCCAGCUCCUCUCCGGGGGGGCGGGACCUGUAGUCUAAAGGGGUGCUCUGCAAGGGAAGGGUUCAUUGCAUUGGGAUGAUCUCCCGGCGCAUAGGGCGUUAUACGCGACCGUGGAUCCGACCUGCGAAGGGUGUUCCUGCGAGUAGGCUAGCUUGAAAGUGCUGGCUGAAUAUGGGGGGUGCUGGCCCUCCAAGGCUAAAUAUGAAAGCGUGGUAACCGAUAGCGAACAAGUACCGUAAGGAAAGCUGAAAAGCACCUCGUCUGAGGAGCUAAAAGAGCAUGAAAUCCGUCUAAUGUGAACGGGACAUCCGGGCUCGUAGAACGGCGUCGGUGGGGUAGCUCCCUGCCAUACGGCGCUUAGUACUACACGGCUUCGGGGAGGCUCCGCUGGGGAGGGCUGCCUUUGUUGUUUCUGGGCCUACGGGCGGGGGGGCACUGGUGGUUUCGAUCCGUAGGGCUUCUCCGCCUAGCUUGCGACGGUAGGGGGAUUCGUCUUCCCUGCCUUGUAAGGUGUAAGAGCUUGGUUUCCCACCCGUCUUGAAACACGGACCAAGGAGUCUAACGUACAUGCAAGUCUUCCAGCCUUCAUGCUGGCCGGCGAAGCUCAUGCAAAAAGCACCAAGGGGCCCCCGGGCCCGCACUGCUCUCCUAACUGGGUCCUCGGGCUUGGAUUGGAGUUUGAGCAUGUCAUGUUAGGUCCCGAAAAACGACGAGCUAUGCUUGAGUAGGCUGAAGCCAGGAGAAAUCUUGGUGGAAGGCCGUCGCAGUACUGACGUGCAAAUCGUUUGUCAAACUUGAGUAUAGGGGCGAAAGACCAAUCGAGUCGUUUAGUAGCUGGUUUCCACCGAAGUUUCCCUCAGGAUAGCAAAGGAAGGUUAUAAAGAGUGCGGGGCGGUAAAGACAAUGAUUAGGAGCACCAGGGACUAUCGGUCUUUGGCUCAUUCUCAAACUUUUAAUGCUCUGUACGGGCCCCUCGUCCUAAACGCGGGGGGUCCAUUCAUCUAGGUUCCUUUAGUGGGCCACGUUGGUAAGCAAGGAUGGCAAAAAGGGUUCAAACUUAUGCCCGGUUAGGCUCUCGAAAGCAUCGGCACUCACCAGUUAAAAGGUGUUGCCCCAUGACGACAGCUGGGCAGUGGCCAUGGAAGCCGGCAUCUGCUAAGGAGUGCGUAACAGCUCACCAGCCGAAUGGGGUAGCCCUGAAAAUGGACGAGGUUCAACCGGUGUAGCCAUACCGGGCCGGUUCCCUGAUAAAGCGUGCAAGCAGGUCUUCCCCUGCGCUAUCUUGGAGUAAACGAGUAGGGCGGAUACCCUGGUCGGGUUGAAGCGUGUUGCCGCCCCAUGGACCGGCCUGGGCAGCAGAUCUUGGUAGUAGUAGCAAGUAUUCAUAUGCAACACUCUGAAGGCCGUAGUGGAGGAGGGUUCCUCAACAACAGCAGUUGCUUGGGGGUUAGUCGGAAUCUAAGCGCCAGGGGAAACCUCGGUAGACCUGGGAAGGACCUAUUCGUCGGGGCAACUCGGCGGGUGGGAAUCUCCCACGGCGCGACAGAGAAGCAGGUUAAUAUUCCUGCACUAGGCUGAUGAGCAGUGGGCGACCUUAAUGCAAAAUCCGAAACUGGUGACGUAGCUGGGACCCGGGAGAGGGAAUUUCCCUCCUUGUUACGGGGGUUAACUACUCUGGUCAGUAUGCAUUGCGCAGAGAGCCAGGUAACCUACCCCUAAAGAGUAUGCCGUUCUUCGGUGUAUUCCUGGAAUCCUUCCGCUGCCCUAGAAAAGCCAGUGGCUGGGUAAAAAGCGUUGCGCUUCGGCCUAACCGUACCUAAUCCGCAUCAGGUCUCCAAGAUGAGCAGUCUCUGGCGCAUAGAACAAAGUAGCGUAAGGGAAUUCGGCAAGCCGGAUUCGUAACUUUGGGAUAAGGAUUGGCUCUAUAGGCUGGGUAUCCUGGGCCGGGUAAGGCGAUGACGGGCUGGAGGCUGCCUUUCGGGGUGGCUGACGGCCUGACUGAGUCGACAACUGGAUCGGGGCGUUCUGGUUCACUCCGGGGCGCUCUGAAACCGGGGUGCCGCUAACAGCUAACAUAGAACUUAUAAAGGCAAGGGGAAUCCAACUGUAUAAUUAAAACAUAGCGAUUUGUUGGUGCCAAAGUGUGUAAACGAAUCGUGAUUUCUGCCCAGUGCUCUGGAUGUUAAAAUGGCGAAAUCCAACCAAGCUCGGGUAAACGGCGGGAGUAACUAUGACUCUCUUAAGGUAGCCAAAUGCCUCGUCAUUUAAUUUGUGACGCGCAUGAAUGGAUUAAUGAGAUUCCCACUGUCCCUACCUACUAUCUAGCGAAACCACAGCCAAGGGAACGGGCUUGGCACAAUUAGCGGGGAAAGAAGACCCUGUUGAGCUUGACUCUAGGCACAAACGCGAGGUGAUUCUAAAGGUGUAGCAUAGGUGGGAGGCCUGGCCCGACCUUGAAAUACCACCACUUUCGACAUUGCCUUGCUAAUGCUGUAAUAAGUAAACGACCCCCCUUCGUGUCGGCCUUCACGGGUCGGCUGUUGGGUACGGUCAUGUUCUGGCGUUUUCCCUGCUGGUAAUGAUGGCGUGGCUACCUCGGAGAAGUACCCUGAGGCCGCAAUCCAGGCUUUCGGGCUCGGUGAGCGCUGUUCUCGGGGGAACCGGGGGUUCGUUGUGCUGUCCUCUGGCCGGCGUAAAGGGGUAUACAAGUCGUGUAGCAAACUAUUUGUGUUAGGGAGUUUGGCUGGGGCGGAAAACUGCUACACGGCAACGGCAGUCUCCUAAGGUUCACUCAGAGACGACAGAAACGUCUCGUAGAGCAUAAGGGCAAAAGUGAGCUUAACUCACAUUUUCAGUAGUAAUGUGAAGCAAGAAAUUGAGGCCUAACGAUCCUUAACGGCGGGUGCCAGCCCACGUUUGAGGUGAGAGAAAAGUUACCACAGGGAUAACUGGCUUGUGGCCGCCAAGCGUUCAUAGCGACGUGGCUUUUUGAUCCUUCGAUGUCGGCUCUUCCUAUCAUACUAAAGCAGAAUUCAGUAAGUGUUGGAUUGUUCACCCUCUUAAGGGAACGUGAGCUGGGUUUAGACCGUCGUGAGACAGGUUAGUUUUACCCUCCUACUUGACAACUAGGAGGGCCUUAUGGCCCGUCGGAUUUUCUGACAGUAGAUCACCUCAGUACGAGAGGAACCGGUGAUUCGAGCCACUGGUGUAAGGGCUGCUCGAGAGGGCAGUGUUCUAACGCUACGCUCGUUGGAUGAAGGCUGGAAGCAUCUAAGCCCGAAGCCAUGCUGAAUACGAACUUUCGGCUUUGCCGCUAUCCUAACAAGGUGGCGGCGCUGUUGACUGGGCCACUAAGGCCGUAUGAGCGAAACCAAAUCUUGCUAGUAGGCCAAGCCUUCGGGUUUGUGUCGAACGCCACCCUCCGCUCCGAAGCUUUCGGGGUAACCAAACUCAUGCGGCCGGCCGGGUGUAUCGUGUGUGACAGACGAUCACGUAUUUGUACGGGUCCUGUGCGCUAAUAAGCUUUCCGCAAGGGUCUUGCGAGUUGUUGAGGGAACCUCUGUACCCCCCAUGGUUUUAGGC
rnacentral:rRNA from 1 species